rnacentral:rRNA from 1 species
UACGAAGGGGACUAGCGUUGUUCGGAAUCACUGGGCGUAGAGCGCACGUAGGCGGAUUCGUAAGUCAGGGGCGAAAUCCCGGGGCUCAACCUCGGAACUGCCUUUGAUACUGCGGGUCUUGAGUCCGAUAGAGGUGGGUGGAAUUCCUAGUGUAGAGGUGAAAUUCGUAGAUAUUAGGAAGAACACCGGUGGCGAAGGCGGCCCACUGGAUCGGUACUGACGCUGAGGUGCGAAAGCGUGGGGAGCAAACAGG